rnacentral:rRNA from 1 species
GAUGAACGCUGGCGGCGUGCCUAAUACAUGCAAGUCGAGCGAACAGACGAGGAGCUUGCUCCUCUGACGUUAGCGGCGGACGGGUGAGUAACACGUGGAUAACCUACCUAUAAGACUGGGAUAACUUCGGGAAACCGGAGCUAAUACCGGAUAAUAUAUUGAACCGCAUGGUUCAAUAGUGAAAGACGGUUUUGCUGUCACUUAUAGCUGGAUCCGCGCCGCAUUAGCUAGUUGGUAGGGUAACGGCUUACCAAGGCGACGAUGCGUAGCCGACCUGAGAGGGUGAUCGGCCACACGGGAACUGAGACACGGUCCAGACUCCUAAGGGAGGCAGCAGUAGGGAAUCUUACGCAAUGGGCGAAAGCCUGACGGAGCGGCGCCGCGUGAGUGAUGAAGGUCUUCGGAUCGGAAAACUCUGUUAUUAGGGAAGAACAAAUGUGUAAGUAACUAUGCACGUCUUGACGGUACCUAAUCAGAAAGCCACGGCUAACUACGUG